rnacentral:ncRNA from 2 species
AAACCAUGUUUCAGGAAGUGAGGUGAAAUUCCUCCACUGUGCCGCAACUGUAAAGUCAGAAAACUAAUGGUUC